rnacentral:rRNA from 1 species
GUGCCAGCCGCCGCGGUAAUACGGAGGAUCCAAGCGUUAUCCGGAAUCAUUGGGUUUAAAGGGUCCGUAGGCGGCCUUAUAAGUCAGUGGUGAAAUCUCCCAGCUCAACUGGGAAACUGCCAUUGAUACUGUAGGGCUUGAAUUAUUAGGAAGUAACUAGAAUAUGUAGUGUAGCGGUGAAAUGCUUAGGUAUUACAUGGAAUACCAAUUGCGAAGGCAGGUUACUACUAAUAUAUUGACGCUGAUGGACGAAAGCGUGGGUAGCGAACAGGAUUAGAAACCCCGGUAGUCC